UACGAAGGGGGCUAGCGUUGCUCGGAAUCACUGGGCGUAAAGGGCGCGUAGGCGGGUGCUCAAGUCCGGGGUGAAAUCCUCCAGCUCAACUGGAGAACUGCCUCGGAUACUGGGUGCCUCGAGGGUGGUAGGGGUAUGCGGAACUAUCGGUGGAGCGGUGAAAUGCGUUGAUAUCGAUAGGAACUCCGGUGGCGAAGGCGGCAUACUGGACCACAUCUGACGCUGAGGCGCGAAAGCCAGGGGAGCAAACGGG
rnacentral:rRNA from 1 species